UAAUCAGGCUGGAAAAAUCAAUUUGCUCCAUGUACGGCAUGUUAACGGCUUUACAGAGAGUCAGCGGCGCUGGAGUGAAGCUAUUUUAGAGCAGAUUAGUUUGGGACUGAUUAGCUGGUUGUGCUUUACCACACUGCUGCUGCCAAGCAGAGAACAGCCAGUCGCCUGUGAGGGCUUGAACGCUGCGGGUAUUUUAGCACCUGUUCUUACAGCACACCUGUCCUGCCUCAGCCUCGUUUGGCCUGCUCUGAUCCCAGUGUUUUCCUCAGCUCCUCAUACCUGCACUUCAUUCCCUCAUCAGUUCAGUUUGUAUUUUAGUCCAGUUUGAGUUCACGUCUUUGUUAACUCAUCUGCUCUCUUUGUCUCCUGCUGUGGUUCUGAUUUUGUUAUUUUCAAUAAAGAAGUCCAACUAUU